rnacentral:rRNA from 1 species
UACGUAGGCAGCGAGCGUUGUUCGGAGUUACUGGGCGUAAAGCGUGCGUAGGCGGUUUUGUAAGUUUGGUGUGAAAUCUCCCGGCUCAACUGGGAGGGUGCGCCGAAAACUGCAAGGCUGGAGUGUGGGAGAGGUAGGCGGAAUUCCUGGUGUAGCGGUGAAAUGCGUAGAUAUCAGGAGGAACACCUGUGGUGUAGACGGCUUACUGGACCAUGACUGACGCUGAGACACGAAAGCGUGGGUAGCAAACAGG